rnacentral:pre_miRNA from 1 species
CACCCCGGUGACUCACUCAACCCGGGUGUGAUGUGAAUAUAUUAUCGUCACAACCUCCUUGAGUGAGCGACCAGGUGG